UAAUUUUUUUUAAUGGCAUUGUCAUGUAAUUAAUUACAAAAAUUAAGGUUAGAUUUAAAAUGUACUUCCCAAAUAAUAUAGUAGGAUAUAAAUACUAAUGAUAUCUGAGAUUUAUAUAACUAUUUUAU
rnacentral:sRNA from 1 species